CAGUACCUCCCACUGGGGACCAGGAGCCUGCCAGUACAGGAUGCAGCCAGUGCACAAAGCUGGUAAGAGAAGGGCAGAAAUGGAUGGAGAAGGAAAGAAGAAUAACUCAGCAGCACAGCUACGUCAGCUUGUGAACCCAGCUCUAACCAAUCUGAAAGGUUAUAUCUACUCCUCUACUCACCUUUCAUAUUUAUGAGUGUGCAUGGUCAGAGACCUCUAGGAGCCUCCAGAGAUGCACUGCCAGAGAGCCGGAGAGAAUUGCUACUCUGUGUGUGCCCGAGAGCAGAGCUUCUCAAAUCCAAGGUGCAC
rnacentral:lncRNA from 1 species